ensembl:lncRNA
CCUCCUGCCAAGGGAUCCUGUGUGCAUCUGCAGGGGCUCUGGGCCUCGUGGCUUUCCCGUUCUGUGGGAUCCAGACAAGCUCUGCCUCCAAGAAAGUCCUGGCUUCUUUGGGGGGCUGCAGACAGAGCUCCUGAUUAGUGACUGCCAAAGAAUGGGCCCCCCUGCGAGCCAUUGGGAGCCACUGAAAGUUCUGGAGACAGACGGGGCUUGUUCGGAAUCGGCCUUUAGGAAGCUGCUGACCUUGGCCCUGCAGCUCCCAGCUCCAAAGCUCAAAGGUGGAAGUGAGAUGGUGAGGGCAGCCAGGAAGGAAUUACGGGCCAGGGAUCUGGCAGGAAGCUUGACUUCAGCCUGGGAGAGCCGCAGAAAGCACCCAGGAGCCGACCCGGGAAGAGAGCCCUGGAGCUCCCCUCGGCUGCACCACUCACAUGCUUCCUGAGUAGCUGUCCCUGAGCAGGGCCCGAGGUCCUGUCCUCCCGCCACCCAGCUGCGUGUCCUGUGGAAGGCUACUGUCCCCUUGGGCCCGCCAGGUCUACAUCGGCACCCUUCUUGCUGCCUUCGUCUCUAGGCUGGCGCUGCUGGAGGCUCAGCGGAGCUCUGAGCUGGGAAAGGGCUUAGCAAAUAGCAGAAAUGAUCACAGUGGCACCAAAGCAAAAAAGCUCCUUGGGUCCUUACUAUGCGCCAAACCCUCUGAAAUUCUCUGCCUGGUUCAUGGAAAGGCCACGAGACGCUGCAACGCUUUGUUUAAAUAUGAAACCUUGAGAAUAGAGUCGUGGGUUUUAUUUUUACCUCCAGGCACGUGGGUGAAGAGGGGAGUUCCAGCGAUGUUCUUCUAGCUGAACAAAGAAAACUCACAAGCAGGUCUGCCUUUGAGGAAACAGAGGCGUCCAUUGAAAUAUUAAUAUACUGCAGUAGGAAAUUAUUAAGCAAGACAUCCAGCCAGAAUUAUAGACUUUUUUUUUUUUUUCUGGAUUAAAGAUGACCUGCUAGGCUAUGGGGAUCAUUCCUGAAAUCAAGGCGUCUUGGACGACUCUUUUGAAGGAAGUAGAAUUUAGGCGGACAACUUCACCUCCAGGUUCAUCUCUGUGGACGUCGGCAACAUUUCCUCCAUCUUAUUUUGAGGACUUUGGAAGGUCUGAAGUUUUCAAGGGUUUGACCGGUUACCAAAGAGAGUUCAAGAGUCGCCUGAAGGAGCCAAAGACUUGUCAUUUGUAGUGAAAAAGAACAGACUAGGAGCCAGGAGCAUAUGCCACUUGCAUAUGCAUAUUCUUAUUCAAUUCCCCCCCACCCCAUGAGAUGGGUAUUAUCAUUAUUCUCCACUCUGUGCAGGAGGAAACUGAGGCUCAGAGAAGUCCAUGAGCUGUCAAAGUACACACAGCAAGGAGGUCAAGGGCUGCACUUGUGAAGAUAGGGACUGGGGCUUCCAUGGAUGGUGCUGG